GUCACUGCAGUAUUUAUGUGAAGCUGAGCCAAGUGGAGCAAUUGAGUCUCAUCAACACUCACCAUGAAGAUCCCACUCUCUUUAUUCCUGCUACUAAUCAGCCUCAUUGGUGUGAAAUGUCAAAGUCUUGAGUCAUUACAAACAACAGUGCAGAAGAAACCUGGCGACACGCUGAGUCUCUCCUGCAGAGGAUCUGGAUUCACUUUUAGCAGCUACCAAAUGCACUGGAUCAGACAGCAGGCAAACAAACCACUGGUGUGGAUGGGGUACAUCUAUACUGAUGGCAGUAAAACUGGAUAUAGUACAUCUUUUGAAGGGAGAACAGAAAUCACCAGAGAUAAUUCCAACAGCAUGGCGUAUCUGAAACUCUCUGGGGUGACAGCAGAAGACACAGCUGUGUAUUACUGUGCCCGAAGAGCACUGUAGCAGAAAUGUGAGGAAACACUGUACAAAAACACUAGCAUUGCUGCUGAUUCAUUUCAUCUGGCCAAUAGGUUUCAGAGACCAAACCAUCUCUUCUAUUUAAAUAAUGAAUCUCCAGAGCAGCAUUGUUUAAAUAAGGGUUUAUGAUUUCCUCAUUUAUUUCAUAUAGAUAAUAAAUGUUGCAUAAAUGCUUUUUCAUGGAAGGAUAAUA